UGAGGAAUAUUGGACAAUGGGCGCAAGCCUGAUCCAGCCAUGCCGCGUGCAGGAAGAAGCAUCUAUGGUGUGUAAACUGCUUUUGUACGGGAAGAAACACUCCUUCGAGAAGGAGCUUGACGGUACCGUAAGGAUAAGGAUCGGCUAACUCCGUGCCAGCAGCCGCGGUAAUACGGAGGAUCCAAGCGUUAUCCGGAAUCAUUGGGUUUAAAGGGUCCGUAGGCGGUUUAGUAAGUCAGUGGUGAAAGCCCAUCGCUCAACGAUGGAACGGCCAUUGAUACUGCUAGACUUGAAUUAUUAGGAAGUAACUAGAAUAUGUAGUGUAGCGGUGAAAUGCUUAGAUAUUACACGGAAUACCAAUUGCGAAGGCAGGUUACUACUAAUGGAUUGACGCUCAUGCACGAAAGCGUGGGGAGCAAACA
rnacentral:rRNA from 1 species